UUUUUGUAAUAAUGAAUCUUAUGAUCUUGGUUAUUUAUUUAUGUAUAUUAACUUUAUUCUAUGUAGCAAAAUGCUCAAGCAAGAUGGAUUAAGCAUGGCAAGAAGUGGAACCAAUUCAAAUUACUAGAGAAUGACAUCCUUAUUGAUUAUGCCAAUGGUUUGCAGCCUCUUUAUUCUGUCAAAUGGCCUGAUGUUGACAUUGUGUAUGUCCCUAUCAAUGUUCGGGCUAGUCACUGGGUAUUAGGAGUUGUCCACCUUCAUCGAAGGAUUAUAUACGUAUAUGACUCAUUGAUGGGCAUCAAUAAUAAUGCAAGAUUGCAAGUUGCCAUUAAACCAUUAGCCAAAUUGUUGCCGCAUAUAUUGAAUGCAAUAGCAUAUUAUGGUUUUCAUGGUGACACAAAAGUUAACUACCAAGAAUGGGAAAUUGAACGGCUGCAAGAUAUUCCUCAACAGGAAAAUGAUGGUGAUUGUGGCAUGUUUGUUAUCAAAUAUGCUGAAUACUUAAUGCACAACCAUCCAUUGAAGUCAUUAACAAGUGCACGAAUGGACUGGUUUCGGGAAAAGAUGGCAGCAGAGCUAUUUUAUAUGAAAUACUUGCCUAUGUAAUGAAUUCAUGUUGAUAUUUCACAUUUUGAUAAUGUAGUUGGAUGGUUUGUUAUAUGUAAUUGGAUAGCUUCAUAUAUGUAGUUAGGCAUUUUGAUAAAUGUAGUUGGACAGGUUGAUAUAUCUACUUGGAUAUUUUGAUGAAUGUUGUUCGAUAGUUAUGUAUACAAUUGACCUUUUAAACUAAA